AGUGAACGCUGGCGGUAGGCCUAACACAUGCAAGUCGAACGGCAGCACAGUAAGAGCUUGCUCUUACGGGUGGCGAGUGGCGGACGGGUGAGGAAUACAUCGGAAUCUACUUUUUCGUGGGGGAUAACGUAGGGAAACUUACGCUAAUACCGCAUACGACCUACGGGUGAAAGCAGGGGAUCUUCGGACCUUGCGCGAUUGAAUGAGCCGAUGUCGGAUUAGUUAGUUGGCGGGGUAAAGGCCCACCAAGGCGACGAUCCGUAGCUGGUCUGAGAGGAUGAUCAGCCACACUGGAACUGAGACACGGUCCAGACUCCUACGGGAGGCAGCAGUGGGGAAUAUUGGACAAUGGGCGCAAGCCUGAUCCAGCCAUACCGCGUGGGUGAAGAAGGCCUUCGGGUUGUAAAGCCCUUUUGUUGGGAAAGAAAAGCAGCAGGUUAAUACCCCGCUGUUCUGACGGUACCCAAAGAAUAAGCACCGGCUAACUUCGUA
rnacentral:rRNA from 1 species